rnacentral:rRNA from 1 species
UAAUAUAUGUUAUAUAAAUUAAUUGUUCUCGAACUUAGAAGAGCUAAUUAAUUAUUUAUUUUAUUGUGGAAUAAAUAUUUAUAAUGGUUAGUUGGCAAUGAAAUGUUAUUCGUUUCUAAAUAUAUCUAGUUUUUUAGGAAAUAGAUUUAAUCUACUUAAUUUUUUUUUAAUUUGCUUAUUUUUUAGUAAUUUGAUUUGAUUAGGGCAUACCUUAAGGGAUGAGCUUUAAGGUAAAAUUUUAUAAUUUAUUUGUUUUUUAUUAAUAAUAGGAUUAGAAUUUUCCAUUUUUAAGAGGAUGUUAUAGUCAAUUUUGAUUAAUUUAAUAUUUUUAUUUAAUUUAGAUUUUUUACUAAAAUGUGUUUUUUAAUUUAAAAUGAUUAGUAAUAAUGAUAGAAUUAGUAUAAAAAAUUGUAUUUUUACAGUAUUUAUUUUAGGUUAGUAAAAGGAACUCGGCAAUUUAUUUUUCACCUGUUUAUUAAAAACAUGGCCUUUUGAUUAUUAUUAAGGUCUGGCCUGCCC